CUAUUAGGUGAUAUUAGAUUUCAUGUAUUCAUGUUUUUUUUUCUUCUAGGAUUCUGCCAUUUGUAUUAGCUCAGAGAAAGUGAUUAUUUUCAAGUUGCAUGCCUCGCUAGGGAGCAGAGGUAUUGUUUGAACUUGGCUUAUCUAGCCAUGGAUGCUAUCGGAUUGUAAUAUAGGUUCGGUUUCAAGUUAAUGUUGCCCUUUUGUUAUUCUAGUUAAUUAUUUGUUAGGACCUUAUUACUACAUAUUUCCUUACCUAAAAUGCAGUAGGUGAACGCACUACUUUCAUCAGCUAAUUGAUGCACAUGCAAAUAUACAAUAUCGUGAUUAAAUAAUAAAAAGUAGAGAAAAUUAUACCAUAUGAUUCAAUUUGGAAAAUCUUUAUGUUAGUGACUCAGAAAAAUAAUUUUUACAGAAAUCUCUCAAUUUUAAAAAUUCAUUUGCAUCGUAUACCUCAUUCUGUUUUUUUUACUUUUCUAACCCUCACUCACUGUAGGAACUGGAAAUUAUGAAUGGAGAUUAGAUGUAAUUGGUUGAUGAGUGGAUCAGAGAUCCGACUGUAAUUUGUCGGCGGUGGUUGGUCGGCGGCUGCCAAUGGUUCCUCCACUGAUAAUCUUAUAAAAUAAAAAUUGCUUCUGUAGAAAGUAUGUUGUUAUUUACUGCUAUUAAAGCAAUUAGUGUUCUUCAAACACUGAUUUUUGCAGGGCUGUUUCCGACGGUUGUCAUAUUUUUCUUAAUUUGCAUCACUAAACCUUUAUUGUUAUAGUCUUACAGUAAUAAUAAUUUACAAUUAAUUUUUUAAUUUUACAAUUGAUUGGUUGAUGUUGUCUAUUUUUAAUUUAAUUGAAGUUUUUUGUUUAUUGAUAGAGAGAAAUUUGAAGGUCAAGAGUUUCACCGGAAAAUAGAGGGCCACUGUUCAACCGUUCUUUUAUCUUUUUGAACAACAGUGCUUGCUUCUCUAUUCUCAAAUGAAUAGCUUGUUUUAGUAGGAGAUUCAUAUUAUUAGUGUUCUUCAGGAGCUAGAAUUUCAUAGCGGUGGCAAGAAGCAGAGAAACCCACGAUGAUAGCACUAACUAUGGAUUAACUGAUAUUUCAAGUGAAGCUUUUAAGCGAGUUUGUGUACAUCCUCUUGAUUUUGAAGUCUGAUAAUAAAUUUUUAUUUGGAAACUGAUAAUAAAUAAUUUUAUUUAAGUAGGAAUAUGUAUAUUCAAGAACCAAUAAUAAACAUUGUCUUAUGUGUUAUUAGCAGUGUCCAUUAUGCAGGUAUUGAGAAUUCAAUGAUGGCUUUAUUUAUGGAUGGACAAAUAUUUCCAGAUUA